CCACAUCAUGUUGAAACACCUGUUCCUGUAUGAUCACCAAAGUUAAGCAAUGUUGAGCAUGGUCAGUACCUUGAUGGGUAACUGACAGUGAAUACCAGGUGCUGUAAG